UUCGUAGGUGGCUUGUUAAGUCAGACGUGAAAUCCCUCGGCUCAACCGGGGAACUGCGUCUGAGACUGAUGAGCUCGAGUGCAGGAGAGGAACGCGGAAUUCCAGGUGUAGCGGUGAAAUGCGUAGAUAUCUGGAGGAACACCGGUGGCGAAGGCGGCGUUCUGGACUGCAACUGACACUGAGGAACGAAAGCCAGGGGAGCAAACG
rnacentral:rRNA from 1 species